GUGGGGAGACACACCAUGUUGCAGAAUUGCGCCUCCGAGCUCUUGCUUUCUCCAAAAAUCGCAGCAGACCAACCCCGUGGGUCGCCUCCGUUGAUCGCCGCUGCCCGCCGAACGUUUAACCUCUUAUUAAACACAAUUUUUUUAUACCUACGUACGCUCCGCGUGGGUGUCAGCGAGAGAAAGAAGUAGCCGGGCCCUCCGCUGGCGAUGGAACAAACGUAAAAGAAGAUGAUGUCAAGCGGUGGCUACACCUCCAUCGACAACCAGAAGGUCUCCGGAUCCGUUCCGGCCGUCUGCUGUCCGGAUCACGUCACCGUCAAAUUCGCAGAUUGGCGUUAGGGUUAGCAUUCGGCUUUUUUAGGGUUUUCAGAUCUGGUGUUGUUUUGUUUCUUGGGUGUGAUCAUUGAUGCUUGAUUCGAUGCGCUAUAGAGUCCAAUCCCCCCGACGUUUCGACCAUCCAAGGCCCAGGGCAAGAUCUCCGCCGUCUUCCAACCCCCUUCCGAUGUCGAUGGUACCAAAUCCAUCCCAUAAAAUCAUCUUCCUGGAGUUCGAUUUCUUGAUUCGGUACCUGUUUCAUCUUCGGUUCGUCGGUUCGUGUUUUCUGUGGUUUCAAAGUUGUUCUCUGAUCUGGAUUUGGAUUCUCGAUAGAUACGUUCUCGAAGCCGGCUCGGGGGAUUUCCGAUGAGUCGCAACCCCUUCAAAGAAAGUUUUACCGAGAAGACGGCUGAAAAUCCGGACUGGUGUAUUCCUCCUCUCAUCCCAAUGAUCUACUACUUCAUUAUUACCCAUAUUAUCUGGGUAGUUUCGUUCCAAUGGAGCUCUUUAGGGCACGUCAUGGCAACGUGUGCCUGCGCCGGUUAGGACGAUAGUGGGAUAAAAUUUUUAUAGUUGGACCGAUUACGGAAGAAAUUAUGAUCGGAUCGUCAUCACCUACCACAUCUUCAAAGCGCACAUCUCUGAAACGUUUAUGCACAUGCACAAGUGCGUGCGUUGAAAUACUAAGAAAAUAGAAAUGGAUAAAAAAUUAUGUAAUAUUUAUCAAAACUGUUUCAAUAUUCUUAAGAUUUAUUCAUUCUUAUAUUUUUAGUAUUUUUGGAGACGUGACAGGUGAUGACGAUCCAAUUAUAAUUUUUUUCAUAAUCGAUCCGAUCAUAGAAAUUUUAUCACUGCUAGUCUCCUGAUCCAUUAAUCUUUAUAUAUCCCUUGAUCGGUUAUGGCUUACUUGCAUUUUGUAUGUCAUCAAUACAUUAGUAUUGCAAUCCAUUCUUAUCCUGUUAUU